rnacentral:rRNA from 1 species
CCUACGGGUGGCAGCAGUGAGGAAUAUUGGUCAAUGGACGAAAGUCUGAACCAGCCAUGCCGCGUGCAGGAUGACGGCUCUAUGAGUUGUAAACUGCUUUUGUAUUGGGGUAAACACCCCUACGUGUAGGGGCUUGCAAGUAUCAUAUGAAUAAGGAUCGGCUAACUCCGUGCCAGCAGCCGCGGUAAUACGGAGGAUCCAAGCGUUAUCCGGAUUUAUUGGGUUUAAAGGGGGCGUAGGCGGUUGGAUAAGUUAGAUGUGAAAUACCGGUGCUCAACAGCGGAACUGCAGCGCAUACUGGUGGACUAGAGAGUAGUUGCGGUAGGCGGAAUGUAUGGUGUAGCGGUGAAAUGCUUAGAUAUCAUGCAGAACACCGAUUGCGAAGGCAGCUGACCAAACUAUAACUGACGUUGAGGCACGAAAGCGUGGGUAGCAAACAGGAUUAGAUACCCUGGUAGUC